CCAAUUAGCCUUAGCCUAAACCCAAUUAGCCUAAGCCCAAUAACCCUAACCCAGCCUCAGCACAAGCAAAAGUCGGAAGCCCUAAUGGUUGGUGCGCCGCUCCUGCCUUCAGCACGCGUCGAGCCUCCGCGCCACGCAUGCCCCAGUUGGCCUCCGUACGUGCCACGCCCAUUGCUCCGUACGGCCGUACCUGUACACAAGUGAACAAGCAAAAACGG
rnacentral:lncRNA from 1 species